rnacentral:rRNA from 1 species
UACGAAGGGUGCAAGCGUUACUCGGAAUCACUGGGCGUAAAGCGUGCGUAGGCGGUUCGUUAAGUCUGCUGUGAAAGCCCUGGGCUCAACCUGGGAACUGCAGUGGAUACUGGCGGACUAGAGUGUGAUAGAGGAUGGUGGAAUUCCCGGUGUAGCAGUGAAAUGCGUAGAGAUGUGGAGGAACACCGAUGGCGAAGGCAGCCCCCUGGGUCAAGAUUGACGCUCAUGCACGAAAGCGUGGGGAGCAAACAGG